UCACCUCGUGGCGUAGGGGAGAGGUAACACCGAGAAGAGGCAGCGGCGGUGGCGCCAAGACGAUUGGUGCCAAACAGGGCAGAACGCAACUCAGCUCUGGGUUUGUGAAUAGCACAAUGGAAGAAGCUGGACUUUGUGGGUUAAGAGAGAAAGCAGAUAUGUUGUGUAACUCUGAAUCACAUGAUAUUCUUCAACAUCAAGACUCAAAUUGCAGUGCCACAAGUAAUAAACAUUUAUUGGAAGAUGAAGAAGGCCGUGACUUUAUAACAAAGAACAGGAGUUGGGUGAGCCCAGUGCACUGCACACAAGAGUCAAGAAGGGAGCUUCCUGAGCAAGAAGUAGCCCCUCCGUCUGGUCAGCAAGCUUUACAAUGCAACAGGAACAAAGAAAAAGUCUUAGGAAAAGAAGUUUUAUUAUUGAUGCAAGCCCUAAACACUCUUUCGACUCCAGAGGAGAAGCUGGCAGCUCUCUGUAAGAAAUAUGCUGAUCUUGGAAAUUCACCUCUUCUAUAGAAGAGUUUGUUUUGAACUAUACGAUUUGAAACAAAAUUCUUUUUUUGGAGACUAUGGAAACAUUCUCAACAGGGAAACCCUACUAGACUUUGUAAAGCAAAUAAUGGAAAAGAUACAGAACUUUUUGAAGAAUCAUGGGAAAUUUUUAUAAUUAAAUAAAUGCUAAAAUUCUGUUUUGUGAAACAUUUAUGGGAAUUAUCACUGACAGUUUUUGUACACUUUCAAAUAGUGUUAAAGCAGCAACUCCAUGUUGUAAAUGCACAAAACAAAUAUUUAGUUAAUAAUCAACUCCAAGAAUAAAGCUGUAACAAUAAUAGUUA
ensembl:lncRNA TXLNGY taxilin gamma Y-linked (pseudogene)